rnacentral:rRNA from 1 species
AACGUAGGACGCAAGCGUUAUCCGGAGUUACUGGGCGUAAAGCGCGGGCAGGGCGGCUCGAAACGUCUGAUGUGAAAUCUCCUCGCUCAACGGGGAGAGGCCAUUGGAAACGGUCGGGCUGGAGGGCAGUAGAGGCAGGCGGAAUUCCGGGUGUAGUGGUGGAAUGCGUAGAGAUCCGGAGGAACACCAGCGGCGAAGGCGGCAUCCUGGACUGGUC